rnacentral:misc_RNA from 1 species
GAUGAAGAACGCAUCGAAAUGCGAUAAGUAAUGUGAAUUGCAGAAUUCAGUGAAUCAUCGAAUCUUUGAACGCACAUUGCGCCCGCCAGUAUUCUGGCGGGCAUGCCUGUCUGAGCGUCAUUUCAACCCUCAUGCCCCUAGGGCGUGGUGUUGGGGAUCGGCCAAAGCCCGCGAGGGACGGCCGGCCCCUAAAUCUAGUGGCGGACCCGUCGUGGCCUCCUCUGCGAAGUAGUGAUAUUCCGCAUCGGAGAGCGAUGAGCCCCUGCCGUUAAACCCCCAACUUUCCAAGGUUGACCUCAGAUCAGGUAGGAAUACCCGCUGAACUUAAGCAUAUCAAUAAGCGGAGGA